AACCCCUGCCGUUAGUUACGAUGUGUCUAACGGGACUGCCCGGCUCAAACUGGGAGGAAGGUGGGACGACGUCAAGUCAGCAUGGCCUUUAUGCUUAGGGCUACACACGUGCUACAAUGGGUGGUACAAAGAGAAGCCAACUCGCGAGAGCGCGCCAAUCUCAAAAAGCCAUCCUCAGUUCGGAUUGGAGUCUGCAACUCGACUCCAUGAAGUUGGAAUCGCUAGUAAUCGCGGAUCAGCAUGCCGCGGUGAAUACGGUUCCCGGGCCUU
rnacentral:rRNA from 1 species